GACAGAGGAUGCAAGUGUUAUCCGGAAUCACUGGGCGUAAAGCGUCUGUAGGUUGUUUAAAAAGUCUGCAGUUAAAGGUUGAAGCUUAACUUCAAAAAUGCCGUAGAAACUUUUAAACUAGAGGAUGGUAGGGGUAGAGGGAAUUUCCAGUGGAGCGGUGAAAUGUGUAGAUAUUGGAAAGACCACCGAUGGCGAAGGCACUCUACUGGGCCAUGACUGACACUGAGAGACGAAAGCUAGGGGAGCGAAUGGG
rnacentral:rRNA from 1 species